UACGUAGGGGGCAAGCGUUGUCCGGAUUCAUUGGGCGUAAAGAGCUCGUAGGCGGCUUGACAAGUCGGGUGUGAAAACUCCAGGCUCAACCUGGAGACGCCACCCGAUACUGCCAUGGCUAGAGUCCGGUAGGGGACCACGGAAUUCCCGGUGUAGCGGUGAAAUGCGCAGAUAUCGGGAGGAACACCGGUGGCGAAGGCGGUUCUCUGGGCCUUACCUGACGCUGAGGAGCGAAAGCGUGGGGAGCGAACAGG
rnacentral:rRNA from 1 species